CCCCUGCUAGCUCAGUCGGUAAAGAAUCUGCCUGCAAUGCAGGGGACCUGGGUUUGAUUCCUGGGUCGGGAA
rnacentral:tRNA from 1 species